rnacentral:rRNA from 1 species
AGGUAUUCCAUAACUUUUCCUCAACACACUAGAUCCCAUUAUAACUCCGCAGUUAAGAACACUUAGGCUAGAGUAGUACUGGGAUGGGUGAUCGCUUGAGAAGUUCUAGUAUUUUACAUG